rnacentral:ncRNA from 1 species
GGUGACGCUUACGGACGUGAGCGUCCCGGACGAGGUUCACCGUACCCGGACAGCGACAAGACGGUGUGGG